CCAGACUCCUACGGGAGGCAGCAGUGGGGAAUAUUGCACAAUGGGGGAAACCCUGAUGCAGCAACGCCGCGUGAAGGAAGACGGUUUUCGGAUUGUAAACUUCUAUCAAUAGGGAAGAAAGAAAUGACGGUACCUAAAUAAGAAGCCCCGGCUAACUACGUGCCAGCAGCCGCGGUAAUACGUAGGUGGCAAGCGUUGUCCGGAUUUACUGGGUGUAAAGGGCGUGCAGCCGGGAAGACAAGUCAGAUGUGAAAUCCCGCGGCUCAACCGCGGAACUGCAUUUGAAACUGUUUUUCUUGAGUACCGGAGAGGUCAUCGGAAUUCCUUGUGUAGCGGUGAAAUGCGUAGAUAUAAGGAAGAACACCAGUGGCGAAGGCGGAUGACUGGACGGCAACUGACGGUGAGGCGCGAAAGCGUUGGGAGCAAACAGGAUUAGAUACCCCAGUA
rnacentral:rRNA from 1 species